rfam:Lactobacillus sp. ASF360 genomic scaffold acMPL-supercont1.1, whole genome shotgun sequence.
AGACUUGUAGCUAAUUGGAAAGCAGCUUGUCUCCAAAACAAGUAAUCUAGGUUCGAGUCCUAGCGAGUCUG